rnacentral:rRNA from 1 species
GACGAACCGAGCGAACGUUGUUCGGAAUCACUGGGCUUAAAGGGCGCGUAGGCGGGCUGCCGCGUCCGGGGUGAAAUCCUCCGGCUCAACCGGAGAACGGCCCCGGGUACGGGCGGCCUCGAGGGGGGUAGGGGCGUGCGGAACUGUGGGUGGAGCGGUGAAAUGCGUUGAGAUCCACAGGAACUCCGGUGGCGAAGGCGGCACGCUGGACCCUCUCUGACGCUGAGGCGCGAAAGCCAGGGGAGCGAACGGGAUUAGAUACCCCGGUAGUCCUGGCCCUAAACGAUGAGAACUGGGUAGUAGCCCUGGCAUGGGGUUACUGCCGCAGCCAAAGUGCUAAGUUCUCCGCCUGGGGAGUAUGGUCGCAAGGCUGAA